rnacentral:rRNA from 1 species
UGCCAGCCGCCGCGGUAAUACGGAGGGUGCAAGCGUUAAUCGGAAUUACUGGGCGUAAAGCGCGCGUAGGUGGUUUCGUAAGUUGUCUGUGAAAGCCCCGGGCUUAACCUGGGAAAGUCAGGCAAAACUGCGAGACUAGAGUACGGGAGAGGGUAGUAGAAUUUCCAGUGUAGCGGUGAAAUGCGUAGAGAUUGGAGGGAAUACCGGUGGCGAAGGCGGCUACCUGGCCUGAUACUGACACUGAGGUGCGAAAGCGUGGGGAGCAAACAGGAUUAGAUA